rnacentral:rRNA from 1 species
CAGCCGCCACGGGAAUACGUAGGGUGCGAGCGUUAAUCGGAAUUACUGGGCGCAAAGCGUGCGCAGGCGGUUAUAUAAGACAGAUGUGAAAUCCCCGGGCUCAACCUGGGACCUGCAUUUGUGACUGUAUAGCUAGAGUAUGGCAGAGGGGGGUGGAAUUCCGCGUGUAGCAGUGAAAUGCGUAGAUAUGCGGAGGAACACCGAUGGCGAAGGCAGCCCCCUGGGCCAAUACUGACGCUCAUGCACGAAAGCGUGGGGAGCAAACAGGAUUAGAUACCCGCGUAGUCCCUGUCUCUUAUAC